CCUACGUGAGGCAGCAGUGGGGAAUAUUGCACAAUGGGGGAAACCCUGAUGCAGCGACGCCGCGUGAGUGAAGAAGUAUUUCGGUAUGUAAAGCUCUAUCAGCCGGGAAGAAAAUGACGGUACCUGAUUAAGCAUCCCCGGCUCACUACGUGCCAGCAGCCGCGGUACUACGUAGGGGGCAAGCGUUAUCCGGAUUUACUGGGUGUAAAGGGAGCGUAGUCGGCAUCACAAGUCUGGAGUGAAAUGCCUGGGCUUAACCCCGGCACUGCUUUGGAAACUGUGCAGCUAGAGUGCAGGAGAGGUAAGUGGAAUGCGUAGUGUAGCGGUGAAAUGCGGAGAUAUUAGGAGGAACACCAGUGGCGAAGGCGGCUUACUGGACUGUAACUGACGUUGAGGCUCGAAAGCGUGGGGAGCAAACAGGAUUAGAUACCCCUGUAGUC
rnacentral:rRNA from 1 species